rnacentral:rRNA from 1 species
AUUGAACGCUGGCGGCAUGCCUUACACAUGCAAGUCGAACGGUAACGCGGGGGCAACCCUGGCGACGAGUGGCGAACGGGUGAGUAAUACAUCGGAACGUACCCAGUAGUGGGGGAUAGCUCGGCGAAGGCCGGAUUAAUACCGCAUACGACCUAUGGGUGAAAGCGGGGGAUCGCAAGACCUCGCGCUAUUGGAGCGGCCGAUGUCGGAUUAGCUAGUUGGUGAGGUAAAAGCNCACCAAGGCUACGAUCCGUAGCUGGUCUGAGAGGACGACCAGCCACACUGGGACUGAGACACGGCCCAGACUCCUACGGGAGGCAGCAGUGGGGAAUUUUGGACAAUGGGCGAAAGCCUGAUCCAGCCAUGCCGCGUGUGUGAAGAAGGCCCUCGGGUUGUAAAGCACUUUUGUCCGGAACGAAAC